rnacentral:rRNA from 1 species
AGAGUUUGAUCAUGGCUCAGAUUUAACGCUGGCGGCAUGCUUUACACAUGCAAGUCGAACGGCAGCACGAGUGCUUGCACUUGGUGGCGAGUGGCGAACGGGUGAGUAAUGCAUCGGAACAUGUCCUAGAGUGGGGGAUAACGCAUUGAAAAAUGUGCUAAUACCGCAUAAUCUUCGAGAAGAAAAGCAGGGGAUCGCAAGACCUUGUGCUUUAGGAGUGGCCGAUGUCUGAUUAGCUAGUUGGUAAGGUAAAAGCUUACCAAGGCGACGAUCAGUAGCUGGUCUGAGAGGACGAUCAGCCACACUGGGACUGAGACACGGCCCAGACUCCUACGGGAGGCAGCAGUGGGGAAUUUUGGACAAUGGGCGAAAGCCUGAUCCAGCAAUGCCGCGUGAGUGAACAAGGCCUUCGGGUUGUAAAGCUCUUUCAGUCGAGAAGAAAAAGCUAUAUUAAAUAAAUAUAGCUAAUGACGGUAUCGAAAGAAGAAGCACCGGCUAACUACGUGCCAGCAGCCGCGGUAAUACGUAGGGUGUGAGCGUUAAUCGGAAUUACUGGGCGU